GAGAAGUCUACUCACUAAUGUUCAUCGUAGACAAGGGGAAGAAGAGAGAAAGCAUAAAAGUAAAUAACAAUAAAGUAAAAUGAACUUUUAUUAGAAAGACAAUUGUCACAUAUUGUAUUCCAAGAAAAGAUGAAUAAUUGUGAUGGCUAGCUACUCUAUUUAUAGCACAUAUUUGACUUAAAAUCUAAGCAAGUAUAUUCUAAGAAUAUUCGACGAGAGAUUGCGCGCUAAAAUAGAAUAGCUCAGAAUCCAAGCAAAAGCAGCAAAAGGUGUUCUGGAGGGUGGCACGGCCGUGCCAAGGCUAGCACGGGCCGUGCCACUUUGAGAAUCUUUAAAGGUUAAUGCACCACUAAGAUUAAAACGUGUUUCCUUAAAAUACCUAUUCAUACAUUUACUCAAGGGAAGCAACUUUUGUGUUUUUCUCAUUGGAGAAUUUUAUUCACUUUAAAACAAGAUGUGGGUAUAUCAAGAAAACUUAGAACACAAGAGUUUGCUUUCAUGUACAAGAAUCAACAAAAUAAGAGGAGACAAUGAAAAUUUUUGUGUCAUGAUAUUUUCAAUAAAAAUUAGCUACUUAACCAUGCCUUUUACAAUAAAACAAAACAAAAGAAUAAAGUUCAAGGGAGUUUGGAAACACUACGACUAAAGACACUUUAUUAGGCUCCCCCCACACUUAGGAGAAGCAUUGUCCUCAAUGAUUGAAAAUAAGAGAAAUGAAGAAGAAGAAGAAGAAGAAGAAGGAGGAGGAGGAGUAGUAAGAGAAGAGAGGAAGAGGAAAGCUCACAUUUUUCAUUGAGUUCUAUAGGUAGGACCUUGGAGGUGAAAAUGGUGCAUCAUGUUCCGAAGCAUUUGGUUAUUUUCUUCGGAUAUGCGGUUGCCCUUUAGGACAUAAUUCCUUAGUCCCGACAAUUCAACACCUUGCCUUAGUUGCUUGGUGCUUAUCCUCUAGUCCUCGGUAUGCAUCCAUGCUCAUCUUGCAUUUUCAUUUGUUUAUCCGGCAUCAUGGUCAUGGUGCUCCUCAUCAUGGUACAAUUGUGCACCUUCCUCUUCUUGGUGCAAAUGUGCAUCUUUCUCGCCUUCAUUAUCGUGUUCUUCAUGUACCUGUGGAUCAUCAACAACAUACAACAAAUUUUCUUCCACCUCGGUGUUAGUCCGAGAUGGGUUAGAAGGUAUAAUCAAAAUAGGCACAUUGAGUUUGAGUGCGUAGGACAUGGGUGGAUGGGGCUUAAUGAAGUUCAUAAAGAUAAGGGUCUCUAUGUUAAGCCUAUUGUUUUCCUCAAUUUUGGUAAUCCAUUGGUCCUCACCCACUCCCAAUUGCCUAGCUAUGUAUGUGAUGAUACCACCCACAACUAUCUCUCCCGUACUAUCAAACCUAUUACCGUCAUGGGAAAGGUAAUCAAGCAAGUAAAAGCAUGUGUUAACGAGGUGGUUGUUAAGCAUGGCCCACGACAUGAAGAGUUCAUCCGUCCUAGUGUUCCUCAAUUCGGUCCUACCCCAAAUAGUGCAAGUCAUUACCCUUUGAAGGUACCUAAGCACCGGGUUGUGAAUAUGGCUAGCUUUGUUUGAAAGUGUGUUAAAUUGCCUAAGGUUGGUGAUAUGUUCCCAAAAGGUGGCGGGUUGAUAGUCAACCGGCUUAAGACUUUGAUCCCAAGAGUCGUGGAUGAACCCCGUGUUAGCGAAGCUCAUCUCAUCACAAAAGUGUUGGAGAGACAUCUCGUAAUCAAUGUUCAUAAGCCGGAAAGAGAUUCUAUGAUUAGGGUUAUCAAAAUUCAUCAUAUCCUUUGUAAAAAUGAUAGAACUUAAAAACUCAUAGGUGAAAUUUUCAUAACCCUGCAUAGGUCUUAACAUAGCAACCCACCCUAAUCGUCUUAGAAAUUUAAACACAUUAUCACUAAGGCCUAAUGUAACCAAGUCAUAAUUAUCAGGGUACCUGCAAGGAUGUAAAGGUUUAUAAAUGAGAUUUUUAUACCUAUCCUUUUGCUUGGUGUCCUUGAAUAUUAUGCCAUGAUUAUUUGCCGGUACUUGCUUCUUUGGGGAAGGUCCUCUUGAAGAUGUUGCAACUUCUUUUCCACUUCUUUUGGAAGCCAUAGCCUUGACCUUGGUUGGACUUGGUGUGGUUGUGGUGAAGGUUGGGGUUAGUGAAUGUUUUUGGUGGAAAGGGUUGGUUUAGUGAUGGGGAGAAGGUUUAAGUGAGUUGAAAGGGUUGGGUUGUGGAAAUUGGUAAUGAAUUUGAGGGUUUUUGGGUGAGGUUAAUGGGGCUACGAAUUUGGAUGAUUUUUGAAUUGGGUGGAUGAAAGUUGUUUUUGAAUGAAGGGUUGUGAUUAGAAUGGUUUUUGUGGUUUAUGGAGGUUUUAGAGAGAAGGUGGAAGGAUGAUAGAUGUUUGGUUUGGUGAAUGAGGGAAGAAGAGGAUGAAGAAUGAGGUUUAACCUUACCUGAGGUUGGGCAUGGCCGUGCUUAGGUUGGCACGGGCCGUGCCAAGUUCCUGGGUUUGGCUUGGUUUUGGAGAGGCAAGGUCUGGCACGGCCGUGCUAGUGUGAGCACGGGCCGUGCCAAGGUUCUGGGCUCCGGGGCUUCAAAAUUUUCUGUUUUCUUGAAUCAUGCUCGGACAAUUACCUACAAAAUAAUUAAAAAAACAAAACAACAAAACAAAAGCAGUUAAAUGCGUGGGUUGCCUCCCACGAAGCGCUUCUUUAUAGUCUUAGCUUGACGAUCAAGAGGCUUUUCUACCCUAUACCUAAUCUUUCCCAAAGGGAUAACGGCGUCAACCUGGCAUUCUCUCCCAAAUCACAUAUGGCUUUCUCAAUGCUUUCGGAUCCUAUGACACAAGGUAUGAGAAAAUUUUCUGGAUUCUUAAGUUUAGAUGAUAAUUUGGUUGGAAGUAUUUCAAUAAAAAUUCUAAAUUGGUCAUCUAACUUUGAUUUGACAAAACCUUGUGUUAAUGGAUUUUUAGGCUCAUGAGGUGGUGAAACAAAUGGCUUUUCAUUUUCUCCUAUAGUUUUCUCACUUUGAGGCUCAUCACUUCCUAUCUCUCCCUCAUUGUUCUUAAUUGUCACAACGGGGUCCUCUAAUUGGUUACCAUCCCUAAGAAUAAUAGAACUUAUAUGGCCUUUGGGGUUGGUUUCAGUUUGACCUGGAAAGAUCCCGGUGGUUUGAGAGGAAGUAGUCACGUGUUGGGCCACUUGAGAGAUUUGGGUUUUGAGUAUCUUAUUGUGAGUUGCUAUGGAGUCUACCUUGGAUGUGAUUUUGGCAAAAGAGUCAUUCAAAAAUCCUGUUUGGUUUUUAAGCUCUUGGAUUGAUUUAUAACAUAAUUUUCCAUUAAAAGUUCCAAGCUGGAUUUUUGAGGGACUCUUUGGUUGUUUGCAUAACUGGGUGGUGUUGCUUGUUGUCCAAAAAGAUUUUGAGGGGUUUGAUAAAAAAAAGUGGUUGUUUCCAAACCCUCGAUUAUAUUCAGCAUAGUUUACUUGCUCAGGACUUCUAACAACACUACCUAGUUGGCAAUCAAUGCCAAUAUGGCCAAAUACACCACAAACUUCACAAGGAGGUGAUACAGGAGCAGGUGUGACAACACUAGUAUUCAUUGUAUCAAAUUUUUUUGUCAGUGUGUCAACCUUAGCAGUUAGAUGAUCAAGGGAGGAAAUUUUGUACAUACCUACCUCUUUUUUAGAGGGUGAAGAAGCAGUGAUGACUCUCUCACUUGUCCACUGAUAGUGGUUUUGUGCCAUGGCCUCGAUCAAAUCAUAUGCUGCUGUGUAAGUUUUAUUCAUCAAAGCUCCACCUGCAGCUGCAUCAACAUAGAUUUUUGUGGUAUACGAAAGACCAUUAUAAAAGGUGUGGAUAAUAAGCCACUUCUCUAAACCAUGAUGGGGGCAAAGCCUAAGCAUUUCUUUGAAACGCUCCCACGCAUCGUAAAGAGAUUCACCAUCUUUUUGAGUGUAUUGAAAAAGCCACGCCCUGAAUUGAGCGGUUUGAGAAAGGGGAAAGAAUUGGGCAAGGAAAGCUCGCCUCAUUUGGUCCCAUGAAGUGAUAGAACCAAUAGUCAAUGAAUGAAACCAAGCACUAGCUCUAUCCCUUAAGGAAAAAGGAAAGAGGUGCAGCCUUACGGCCUCUUGGUUUGCCUUCAAAGUUCCACUGAGUUUUAAAAAUUUUGAAACAUGAAGAUUCGGAUCCUCAGUGGGUGAUCCGAAAAAUUGAUUUUGCUGCACUAGGUAAAUAAGUGCAGGCUUUAUUUCAAAUUUACUACCCUCAACCGUUGGGUACACAAUAGCAUCGUACGGCUCAUCUGAAGAUGUAAUUGCAUACUCUUUGAGAGCACGUUUCUCAUCCAUGUCGUUAUUAUUGUCUUUGAGCCAUGCCUGAAAUCAAAACGGUUAAAGAUAGAAAAUAAAAAAUAAGGAGAACGGGAGGGAGAGAUAUAAAAUAAAAAUAAAAUAAGAUAAGGAAAUAAAAUAUAUUAUAAAUAUAAAAAAAUAAAAAAAUAAAAAGGUAAGAAAAAGGAAAUAAAAUAUUUUAUAAAUAUAUGUAUAUAUAAUAUUAUAUUAUAUUAUAUUAUAUUUUUUUUUUUUUUAGACUAACCACUAUUAAAAAGUUAAUCAAAUUACAAUAACUCCCCGGCAGCGGUGCCAAAAACUUGAUGGGAUAAAACCGCAAGUGCACGGUCUUACCGAAGUAGUAAAAUAGAGUAUCGUUCCGACAGGGAGUUAUGAAUUCAAUUAACUUUAGAUAAUGAUUAGACUAACGUUUUAUAAGGUAGAAAGUUUUGGAUUUUUAAUUGAAAGUAAAUAAUAAAAUAAAAGAUAAAAGCCUUGGGGUUAUUGGUUCAUCCUAACGACAAGUCCUUCUGAAACCAAACUAUUAAACUUAUAACUUUAUGUUAGACCUAAUUUCUCAAGACAGUUUCUCUUUUGUUCCUCUAGCAACCAAGCCUAUUUCGCUGACUUGAUUACUAUUAGAUUUUGGUUCCUCUAACAACCAAGCCUACUUUACUGACUUGAUUGUUAUUAGUUCCCUUAAAGAUCGAAACUAUAUGUCUCAAAGAUUGCAAAGCCUAUUUCGCUGACUUUGGAAUCCUUGUCUAAAUUCACUUGUUCGAAUAUCAAAGCUCCAAUUUCGUUUUAUGAAUUGAUAUUUGAGAUGAUGGAUAAACAAUUAUCAAACCCUCCACUUUCGUUUCCACAGUUUGAUAAUGGUUGAUCCAUGUUAAAGCGGUGAAUUUAGAUAAGGAAUUAGGGUUACAUAAGAUUAAGGUUUAAAGCUUGGUUUGAUUAGGAUUAUGUCAUUAGACUUAUCCAACAAUCCCAAGACAAGAGAAGUCUACUCACUAAUGUUCAUCGUAGACAAGGGGAAGAAGAGAGAAAGCAUAAAAGUAAAUAACAAUAAAGUAAAAUGAACUUUUAUUAGAAAGACAAUUGUCACAUAUUGUAUUCCAAGAAAAGAUGAAUAAUUGUGAUGACUAGCUACUCUAUUUAUAACACACAUUUGACUUAAAAUCUAAGCAAGUAUAUUCUAAGAAUAUUCCACGAGAGAUUGCGCGCUAAAAUAGAAUAGCUCAGAAUCCAAGCAAAAGCAGCAAAAGGUGUUCUGGAGGGUGGCACGGCCGUGCCA
rnacentral:lncRNA from 1 species